rnacentral:rRNA from 1 species
GACGUAGGAUGCAAGCGUUGUCCGGAUUCAUUGGGCGUAAAGAGUUCGUAGGUGGUCUGUUACGUUUGGUGUUAAAGAACGGGGCCCAACCCCGGUAGUGCACUGAAUACUGGCAGACUUGAGUGCGGUAGAGGUAAGUGGAAUUCCCAGUGUAGCGGUGAAAUGCAUAGAUAUUGGGAAGAACACCGGUGGCGUAAGCGACUUACUGGGCCGUAACUGACACUGAGGAACGAAAGCCGGGGUAGCGAAUGGG